rnacentral:rRNA from 1 species
AGUGAACGCUGGCGGUAGGCCUAACACAUGCAAGUCGAACGGCAGCACAGUAAGAGCUUGCUCUUACGGGUGGCGAGUGGCGGACGGGUGAGGAAUACAUCGGAAUCUACUUUUUCGUGGGGGAUAACGCAGGGAAACUUACGCUAAUACCGCAUACGACCUACGGGUGAAAGCAGGGGAUCUUCGGACCUUGCGCGAUUGUAUGAGCCGAUGUCGGAUUAGCUAGUUGGCGGGGUAAAGGCCCACCAAGGCGACGAUCCGUAGCUGGUCUGAGAGGAUGAUCAGCCACACUGGAACUGAGACACGGUCCAGACUCCUACGGGAGGCAGCAGUGGGGAAUAUUGGACAAUGGGCGCAAGCCUGAUCCAGCCAUACCGCGUGGGUGAAGAAGGCCUUCGGGUUGUAAAGCCCUUUUGUUGGGAAAGAAAAGCAGCAGGUUAAUACCCCGCUGUUCUGACGGUACCCAAAGAAUAAGCACCGGCUAACUUCGUG